rnacentral:tRNA from 1 species
GGCUUUGUAGUAUAAUUGCGCAGGGGUGCAAAUCCUGAGAUGAAGAGUAGAAUUCUUUCGAGGCCU